GGGAAUGUGGCUUAGUGGUAGAGUGCUUGCCUAGCAUGCAUGAGGCUCUGGGUUCAAUUCCUCAGUACCA
rnacentral:tRNA from 1 species